rnacentral:rRNA from 1 species
CACGUAGGCACCAAGCGUUGUCCGGAUUUAUUGGGCGUAAAGAGCUCGUAGGCGGUUCGGUAAGUCGGGUGUGAAAACUUUGGGCUCAACCCAAAGCGUGCACCCGAUACUGCCAUGACUAGAGUUCGGUAGGGGAGUGGGGAAUUCCUAGUGUAGCGGUGAAAUGCGCAGAUAUUAGGAGGAACACCGGUGGCGAAGGCGCCACUCUGGGCCGAAACUGACGCUGAGGAGCGAAAGCGUGGGUAGCAAACAGG